CGAACGGGUGAGUAACGCGUGAGGAACCUGCCUCAAAGAGGGGGACAACAGUUGGAAACGACUGCUAAUACCGCAUAAGCCCACGACCCAGCAUCGGGUAGAGGGAAAAGGAGCAAUCCGCUUUGAGAUGGCCUCGCGUCCGAUUAGCUAGUUGGUGAGGUAACGGCCCACCAAGGCAACGAUCGGUAGCCGGACUGAGAGGUUGAACGGCCACAUUGGGACUGAGACACGGCCCAG
rnacentral:rRNA from 1 species